rnacentral:rRNA from 1 species
UACAGAGGGUGCAAACGUUGCUCGGAAUCAUUGGGCGUAAAGCGCACGUAGGCGGCCCAGCAAGCGGGGAGUGAAAGCCCUCGGCUUAACCGAGGAAGUGCUUUCCGAACUACCGGGCUUGAAUACUGGAGAGGGUCGCGGAAUUCCCGGUGUAGAGGUGAAAUUCGUAGAUAUCGGGAGGAACACCAGUGGCGAAGGCGGCGACCUGGACAGAUAUUGACGCUGAGGUGCGAAAGCGUGGGGAGCAAACAGG